CUGGCGCAAGCCCGAGUUGUAAUUUGAAGAAGGUAAUUUUUGGGAAGAUGUAUAUAAAAGUUCCUUGGAACAGGACGUCAUAGAGGGUGAGAAUCCCGUUUUGUAUACCGCUCUUUCCUUGUAAAAUGCCUUCGAAGAGUCGAGUUGUUUGGGAAUGCAGCUCUAAGUGGGUGGUAAAUUCCAUCUAAAGCUAAAUAUUGGCGAGAGACCGAUAGCGAACAAGUACAGUGAUGGAAAGAUGAAAAGAACUUUGAAAAGAGAGUGAAAAAGUACGUGAAAUUGUUGAAAGGGAAGGGUUUUAAGGGAGACUUGGGGGGUAGUGAACAAUUUUCCUUUGGGAAGGUGCACUCACUAUUCUCUGGGCCAAUAUGGGUUUGUGGAGUAGGAUAAAAGGGCAGGAAUGUGGCCAUUCGUGGUGUUAUAGCCUGCCCCAAUACUACUACUGCG
rnacentral:rRNA from 1 species